CCAGACUCCUACGGGAGGCAGCAGUGAGGAAUAUUGGUCAAUGGCCGAGAGGCUGAACCAGCCAAGUCGCGUGAGGGAUGACGGCCCUACGGGUUGUAAACCUCUUUUGCCGGGGAGCAAAGAGCGGGACGCGUCCCGCCUCGAGAGUACCCGGAGAAAAAGCAUCGGCUAACUCCGUGCCAGCAGCCGCGGUAAUACGGAGGAUGCGAGCGUUAUCCGGAUUUAUUGGGUUAAAAGGGUGCGCGGGCGGCAGCGAAAGUCAGCGAAAAAAGGGAGAGGCCAACCCUCUCCCCGCCGUUGAAACUGCGUUUCUUGAGUGGGCGAGAAGUACGCGGAAUGCGUGGUGUAGCGGUGAAAUGCAUAGAUAUCACGCAGAACUCCGAUUGCGAAGGCAGCGUACCGGCGCCCAACUGACGCUCAUGCACGAAAGCGUGGGUAUCGAACAGGAUUAGAUACCCGCGUA
rnacentral:rRNA from 1 species